rnacentral:rRNA from 1 species
UACGUAGGGGGCAAGCGUUGUCCGGAAUCAUUGGGCGUAAAGAGCGCGUAGGCGGCCCUGUAAGUCCGCUGUGAAAGUCAAGGGCUCAACCCUUGGAUGCCGGUGGAUACUGCAGGGCUAGAGUCCGGAAGAGGCGAGUGGAAUUCCUGGUAUAGCGGUGAAAUGCGCAGAUAUCAGGAGGAACACCGAUGGCGAAGGCAGCUCGCUGGGACGGUACUGACGCUGAGGCGCGAAAGCGUGGGGAGCAAACAGG